GACGAACGCUGGCGGCGUGCUUAACACAUGCAAGUCGAACGGAAAGGCCCUGCUUUUGUGGGGUUCUCGAGUGGCGAACGGGUGAGUAACACGUGAGUAACCUUCCCUUGACUUUGGGAUAACUUCAGGAAACUGGGGCUAAUACCGGAUAGGAGCUCCUGCUGCAUGGUGGGGGUUGGAAAGUUUCGGCGGUUGGGGAUGGACUCGCGGCUUAUCAGCUUGUUGGUGGGGUAGUGGCUUACCAAGGCUUUGACGGGUAGCCGGCCUGAGAGGGUGACCGGCCACAUUGGGACUGAGAUACGGCCCAGACUCCUACGGGAGGCAGCAGUGGGGAAUAUUGCACAAUGGGCGGAAGCCUGAUGCAGCAACGCCGCGUGCGGGAUGACGGCCUUCGGGUUGUAAACCGCUUUCGCCUGUGACGAAGCGUGAGUGACGGUAAUGGGUAAAGAAGCACCGGCUAACUACGUG
rnacentral:rRNA from 1 species